rnacentral:rRNA from 1 species
UACGAAGGGGGCUAGCGUUGCUCGGAAUUACUGGGCGUAAAGGGCGCGUAGGCGGACAGUUUAGUCAGAGGUGAAAGCCCAGGGCUCAACCUUGGAAUUGCCUUUGAUACUGGCUGUCUUGAGUUCGGGAGAGGUGAGUGGAAUGCCGAGUGUAGAGGUGAAAUUCGUAGAUAUUCGGAAGAACACCAGUGGCGAAGGCGGCUCACUGGACCGUUGUUGACGCUGAGGUGCGAAAGCGUGGGGAGCAAACAGG